UACGGGGGGGGCAAGCGUUGUUCGGAAUUACUGGGCGUAAAGGGCUCGUAGGCGGCCAACUAAGUCAGACGUGAAAUCCCUCGGCUUAACCGGGGAACUGCAUCUGAUACUGGAUGUCUUGAGGUUGGGAGAGGGAUGCGGAAUUCCUGGUGUAGCGGUGAAAUGCGCAGAUAUCAGGAGGAACACCGGUGGCGAAGGCGGGUCUCUGGGCCGAUACUGACGCUGAGGAGCGAAAGCGUGGGGAGCGAACAGG
rnacentral:rRNA from 1 species